rnacentral:tRNA from 1 species
GGAUUGUGGCUCAGCGGUAGAGUUCUCAUCUAACACGUGCAAGGCCCAGGGUUCAAUCCUCAGCACCA